rnacentral:rRNA from 1 species
GAUGAACGCUAGCUACAGGCUUAACACAUGCAAGUCGAGGGGCAGCAUUUCAGUUUGCUUGCAAACUGGAGAUGGCGACCGGCGCACGGGUGAGUAACACGUAUCCAACCUGCCGAUAACUCGGGGAUAGCCUUUCGAAAGAAAGAUUAAUACCCGAUGGUAUAAUCAGACCGCAUGGUCUUGUUAUUAAAGAAUUUCGGUUAUCGAUGGGGAUGCGUUCCAUUAGGCAGUUGGUGAGGUAACGGCUCACCAAACCUUCGAUGGAUAGGGGUUCUGAGAGGAAGGUCCCCCACAUUGGAACUGAGACACGGUCCAAACUCCUACGGGAGGCAGCAGUGAGGAAUAUUGGUCAAUGGGCGCAGGCCUGAACCAGCCAAGUAGCGUGAAGGAUGACUGCCCUAUGGGUUGUAAACUUCUUUUAUAUGGGAAUAAAGUUUUCCACGUGUGGAAUUUUGUAUGUACCAUAUGAAUAAGGAUCGGCUAACUCCGUGCCUGCAGCCGCGGUAAUACGGAGGAUCCGAGCGUUAUCCGGAUUUAUUGGGUUUAAAGGGAGCGUAGGUGGACAGUUAAGUCAGUUGUGAAAGUUUGCGGCUCAACCGUAAAAUUGCAGUUGAUACUGGCUGUCUUGAGUACAGUAGAGGUGGGCGGAAUUCGUGGUGUAGCGGUGAAGUGCUUAGAUAUCACGAAGAACUCCGAUUGCGAAGGCAGCUCACUGGACUGCAACUGACACUGAUGCUCGAAAGUGUGGGUAUCAAACAGGAUUAGAUACCCUGGUAGUCCACACAGUAAACGAUGAAUACUCGCUGUUUGCGAUAUACAGUAAGCGGCCAAGCGAAAGCAUUAAGUAUUCCACCUGGGGAGUACGCCGGCAACGGUGAAACUCAAAGGAAUUGACGGGGGCCCGCACAAGCGGAGGAACAUGUGGUUUAAUUCGAUGAUACGCGAGGAACCUUACCCGGGCUUAAAUUGCAUUUGAAUAUAUUGGAAACAGUAUAGCCGUAAGGCAAAUGUGAAGGUGCUGCAUGGUUGUCGUCAGCUCGUGCCGUGAGGUGUCGGCUUAAGUGCCAUAACGAGCGCAACCCUUAUCUUUAGUUACUAACAGGUCAUGCUGAGGACUCUAGAGAGACUGCCGUCGUAAGAUGUGAGGAAGGUGGGGAUGACGUCAAAUCAGCACGGCCCUUACGUCCGGGGCUACACACGUGUUACAAUGGGGGGUACAGAAGGCAGCUACCUGGUGACAGGAUGCUAAUCCCAAAAGCCUCUCUCAGUUCGGAUCGAAGUCUGCAACCCGACUUCGUGAAGCUGGAUUCGCUAGUAAUCGCGCAUCAGCCAUGGCGCGGUGAAUACGUUCCCGGGCCUUGUACACACCGCCCGUCAAGCCAUGAAAGCCGGGGGUACCUGAAGUACGUAACCGCAAGGAGCGUCCUAGGGUAAAACUGGUAAUUGGGGCUAAG